rnacentral:rRNA from 1 species
CCUACGGGACGCAGCAGUAGGGAAUCUUCCACAAUGGACGAAAGUCUGAUGGAGCAACGCCGCGUGAGUGAAGAAGGGUUUCGGCUCGUAAGCUCUGUUGGUAGUGAAGAAAGAUAGAGGUAGUAACUGGCCUUUAUUUGACGGUAAUUACUUAGAAAGUCACGGCUAACUACGUGCCAGCAGCCGCGGUAAUACGUAGGUGGCAAGCGUUGUCCGGAUUUAUUGGGCGUAAAGCGAGUGCAGGCGGUUCAAUAAGUCUGAUGUGAAAGCCGUCGGCUCAACCGGAGAAUGGCA